UGACACUGAAAUUUACAAAUUCAAAGGAGGAUCAUUGACAUCAAAGAUGAAUAUAUCAGUGACACUGAUGAUGUUAUCCAAUUGGGUAAUAGAACGUCUGCAAGAAAAUAACCAAGACUGGAGUUGUGUAGUAUCUG